CAGUCGCCGCGGGAAUACGGAGGGUGCAAGCGUUAAUCGGAAUUACUGGGCGUAAAGCGCACGCAGGCGGUCUGUCAAGUCAGAUGUGAAAUCCCCGGGCUUAACCUGGGAACUGCAUUUGAAACUGGCAGGCUAGAGUCUUGUAGAGGGGGGUAGAAUUCCAGGUGUAGCGGUGAAAUGCGUAGAGAUCUGGAGGAAUACCGGUGGCGAAGGCGGCCCCCUGGACAAAGACUGACGCUCAGGUGCGAAAGCGUGGGGAGCAAACAGGAUUAGAUACCCGCGUAGUCCCUGUCUCUUAUAC
rnacentral:rRNA from 1 species